rnacentral:rRNA from 1 species
CCAGACUCCUACGGGAGGCAGCAGUGAGGGAUAUUGGUCAAUGGGGGAAACCCUGAACCAGCAACGCCGCGUGAGGGAAGGCGGUUUUCGGAUUGUAAACCUCUGUCCUCUGUGAAGAUAAUGACGGUAGCAGAGGAGGAAGCUCCGGCUAACUACGUGCCAGCAGCCGCGGUAAUACGGAGGAUGCGAGCGUUAUCCGGAUUUAUUGGGUUUAAAGGGUGCGUAGGCGGGUUAUCAAGUCAGCGGUAAAAUCGUGGAGCUCAACUCCAUCCAGCCGUUGAAACUGAUGAUCUUGAGUGGGCGAGAAGUAUGCGGAAUGCGUGGUGUAGCGGUGAAAUGCAUAGAUAUCACGCAGAACUCCGAUUGCGAAGGCAGCAUACCGGCGCCCGACUGACGCUGAAGCACGAAAGCGUGGGUAUCGAACAGGAUUAGAUACCCGAGUA